GCGCCCGUAGCUCAAUGGAUAGAGCACCAGCCUCCGGAGCUGGGGGUUGCAGGUUCGAGUCCUGCCGGGCGCGCCA
rnacentral:tRNA from 1 species